rnacentral:rRNA from 1 species
AUUGAACGCUGGCGGCAUGCCUUACACAUGCAAGUCGAACGGCAGCACGGGAGCAAUCCUGGUGGCGAGUGGCGAACGGGUGAGUAAUAUAUCGGAACGUGCCCAGUCGUGGGGAUAACGUAGCGAAAGCUACGCUAAUACCGCAUACGAUCUAUGGAUGAAAGCGGGGGAUCGCAAGACCUCGCGCGAUUGGAGCGGCCGAUAUCAGAUUAGGUAGUUGGUGAGGUAAAGGCUCACCAAGCCGACGAUCUGUAGCUGGUCUGAGAGGACGACCAGCCACACUGGGACUGAGACACGGCCCAGACUCCUACGGGAGGCAGCAGUGGGGAAUUUUGGACAAUGGGCGCAAGCCUGAUCCAGCAAUGCCGCGUGCAGGAUGAAAGGCCUUCGGUUGUAAACUGCUUUGUACGACGAAACGGUGAGGCUCUAAUACAG